UACGUAGGGGGCGAGCGUUACCCGGAUUUACUGGGCGUAAAGGGAGCGUAGGCGGACAUUUAAGUCAGGGGUGAAAUCCCGGGGCUCAACCUAGGAAUUGCGCUUGUGACUGGCGGGCUCGAGUACGGUAGAGGGGGGUGGAAUUCCUGGUGUAGCAGUGAAAUGCGUAGAGAUCAGGAGGAACACCGAUGGCGAAGGCAGCCCCCUGGGCCUGUACUGACGCUCAUGCACGAAAGCGUGGGGAGCAAACAGG
rnacentral:rRNA from 1 species